rnacentral:lncRNA from 1 species
UGACGCGUGGUUCCUGCUUAUCUCAAUAGAUAAAUUCCACGUGGAAUUUCUUAGUACUUUUGAUACCCAUCACCACCUCCAAAUAAGGAAAACUGAAGAAAAAAAGAAUCAAGGUCCUGGAACCCUCUUACCUGUCAAUGACUUUCCCUCUUGGAAUUUGAGGGAACAACUGGAAUGCCCCCAGCUUUUCCCACAGAUGGUAAUUGUGUGUGUGGCAGGGGAGGGCUAUGCAUGUUUGGUGAAACUGCAAUUCUCCAGCAAAUGCAUUAGAACAGGUGUUCUGAGAGUCCAAUCACCAUGGAGAAUUCAGGGAACUAGAAAACGUGAGUUCAAGGAGC